GACGAACGCUGGCGGCGUGCCUAAUACAUGCAAGUAGGACGCAGUUGCGAACGGGUGAGUAACGCGUAGGUAACUACCUAUUAGAGGGGGAUAACUAUUGGAAACGAUAGCUAAAACCGCAUACUAGCAGAUGGAUCUGCGUUUGAUUAGCUAGUAGGUAGGGUAAGGGGCUACCAAGGCAACGAUACAUAGACGACCCGGGUGGGUGGUCGGGCAAACUGGGACUGGGGCACGGCCCCGGAUUCUACGGGAAGCAGGAGUAGGGAAUCUUCUGGAAUUGGGGGAACCCUGUCCGGGGAACCGCGGGUGGGUGGAGAAGGUUUUCCGAUCGUAAAGCUCUGUUGUUAAGGAAGCGGUACUUAACCAGAAAGGGACGGCUAACUACGUGCCAGCCGCCGCGGUAAUUC
rnacentral:rRNA from 1 species